rnacentral:rRNA from 2 species
AGGGUUCGACUCCGGAGAGGGAGCCUGAGAAACGGCUACCACAUCCAAGGAAGGCAGCAGGCGCGCAAAUUACCCACUCUCGGAAUGAGGAGGUAGUGACGAAAAAUAACGAGACCGUUCUCUUUGAGGCCGGUUAUCGGAAUGAGUAAAAUUUAAAUCAGUUAACAAGGAUCUAUGAGAGGGCAAGUCUGGUGCCAGCAGCCGCGGUAAUUCCAGCUCUCAAAGUGUAUAUCGUUAUUGCUGCGGUUAAAAAGCUCGUAGUUGGAUCUGCGUCUCAGGACCUGGUCCAUCCAAUUGGAUGCUGAACUGGGAUCCUAGGCUAGAAAUCAAGUCAGUUUUGUUCUAUAAGUUACCUUGAUUGCUGUUGCUUAUAGUGGCUGACAAGUUUACCUUGAAAAAAUUAGAGUGCUCAAUGCGGGCUUUUAGCCUGAAUACUCGUGC